rnacentral:rRNA from 1 species
GACGAACGCUGGCGGCGUGCUUAACACAUGCAAGUCGAACGGUAAGGCCCUUCGGGGUACACGAGUGGCGAACGGGUGAGUAACACGCGGGUGAUCUGCCCUGCACUUCGGGAUAAGCCUGGGAAACUGGGUCUAAUACCGGAUAGGACCACUGCCUGCAUGGGUGGGGGUGGAAAGCUUUUGCGGUGUGGGAUGGGCCCGCGGCCUAUCAGCUUGUUGGUGGGGUGAUGGCCUACCAAGGCGACGACGGGUAGCCGGCCUGAGCGGGUGACCGGCCACAACGGGACUGAGGUACGGCCCAGACUCCUACGGGAGGCAGCAGUGGGGAAUAUUGCACAAUGGGCGCAAGCCUGAUGCAGCGACUCCGCGUGAGGGAUGACGGCCUUCGGGUUGUAAACCUCUUUCAGCACCGACGAAGCGCAAGUGACGGUAGGUGCAGAAGAAGGACCGGCCAACUACGUGCCAGCCGCCGCCGUAA